UACGAAGGGGGCUAGCGUUGCUCGGAAUGACUGGGCGUAAAGGGCGCGUAGGCGGAUUGCUUUGUCAGACGUGAAAUUCCAGGGCUCAACCUUGGGGCUGCGUUUGAGACGGGUGAUCUUGAGUUCGGAAGAGGGUCGUGGAAUUCCCAGUGUAGAGGUGAAAUUCGUAGAUAUUGGGAAGAACACCGGUGGCGAAGGCGGCGACCUGGUCCGGUACUGACGCUGAGGUGCGAAAGCGUGGGGAGCAAACAGG
rnacentral:rRNA from 1 species